CUGGAAUUGCUAGUAAUGGCAGGUCAGCAUACUGCCGUGAAUACGUUCCCGGGCCCUUGUACACACCGCCCGUCACACCAUGAGAGUUGGGAAUACCCGAAGCCUGUGAGCUAACUUAUAGAGGCAGCAGUCGAAGGUAGAAUCAAUGAUUGGGGUGAAGUCGUAACAAGGUACC
rnacentral:rRNA from 1 species